CUGCGAAUACCGGAGAAUGUUAUCACGGGAGACACACGGCGGGUGCUAACGUCCGUCGUGAAGAGGGAAACAACCCAGACCGCCAGCUAAGGUCCCAAAGUCAUGGUUAAGUGGGAAACGAUGUGGGAAGGCCCAGACAGCCAGGAUGUUGGCUUAGAAGCAGCCAUCAUUUAAAGAAAGCGUAAUAGCUCACUGGUCGAGUCGGCCUGCGCGGAAGAUGUAACGGGGCUAAACCAUGCACCGAAGCUGCGGCAGCGACACUGUGUGUUGUUGGGUAGGGGAGCGUUCUGUAAGCCUGCGAAGGUGUGCUGUGAGGCAUGCUGGAGGUAUCAGAAGUGCGAAUGCUGACAUAAGUAACGAUAAAGCGGGUGAAAAGCCCGCUCGCCGGAAGACCAAGGGUUCCUGUCCAACGUUAAUCGGGGCAGGGUGAGUCGACCCCUAAGGCGAGGCCGAAAGGCGUAGUCGAUGGGAAACAGGUUAAUAUUCCUGUACUUGGUGUUACUGCGAAGGGGGGACGGAGAAGGCUAUGUUGGCCGGGCGACGGUUGUCCCGGUUUAAGCGUGUAGGCUGGUUUUCCAGGCAAAUCCGGAAAAUCAAGGCUGAGGCGUGAUGACGAGGCACUACGGUGCUGAAGCAACAAAUGCCCUGCUUCCAGGAAAAGCCUCUAAGCAUCAGGUAACAUCAAAUCGUACCCCAAACCGACACAGGUGGUCAGGUAGAGAAUACCAAGGCGCUUGAGAGAACUCGGGUGAAGGAACUAGGCAAAAUGGUGCCGUAACU
rnacentral:rRNA from 1 species